rnacentral:miRNA from 1 species
UACUGAGUUGGCCAAAAAGGUCAUUUGGGUUUUUCCAUUAGAUGGUACAGGAAAACCCAAAAGAACUUUUUGGCCAAUGCAA